rnacentral:lncRNA from 1 species
GUCCGGCCAGAGGUAGACGGCCCGCGGGGCCAAUCGGAGUGCAGGCAGGGCAGCAGGCCCCGCCUCCGAAACAACAGAAAGCACUUGACAGGCUUGCUCUCCAAUGAGAAGCCCCGGAAAAGUGUCGCGCGGAGGCGGAGCCACGCGGUACAGCCACCUCUGCGCCUGCUCAAAGGCCCUGGACACUUGGAGUCUAGGUCAGGCCAGAAAUGUUGCUUCUGAAGUCCUGAGUCCACCUCCUAGCACUGCCAAGCAGUCCACCUGGAGGUGAUGAGAACUUCCAGGCUUUGGUAAUGGACAACUCUGUAUCCCUGGAGCCUUCAUUCCUUUUGGCAUUACAGAACCACAAGAAGUCAUCUAGAAUCAUUGAGAUUCUCAACUCCAUUGGGCAAACUGGAACCAGCAAAAUCUCAGAUAUCUAGAAUUGCCACUGCUUCCUUGACUCUGUGAUCAGUCUACAGCCACAGAAUCCUGAUUCCCUUUGGACAUUCUAGAAUGGCACUUUAAAAAAAAACAACCCACCCAGUGGAUCCUUUCAAAGCACUGCUUAUUCUCUUGGCUGGGUGCUCUACAGCCAGAAGUUGGAGUUAUCUAAUAUCAAGAACUCUUAAUCUGUCACUUCAGUCUUUCUAAACCCACAGACUAACAAUGUUUUGUG